rnacentral:lncRNA from 1 species
GGUAGGAGGGUUGCUUGUUACUUCCCAUACUUCCAUUUUCCAGGGUACCCUUGGGUUCAAGAGAUUCAUACCUCUCAAAUUCAACCUCUCCAAUGAUCUAUUUAAAUCUGGGCAGAAAUUUAUCUUAUUCUAGACUAUGAACACAGGACUUCCAAGCAAUAUACAGUGUGAAGAAGACUGGGAGAGUAGAGGGUUUCCAACUACUUAGGAGACCAUGUUCUUCAUUGUUUUAAGUAGAUGGACAGUGUUAUCUGCUAGUGGGUCUUGGCUUUCAAAGCAGGCUCCCCAGGGCCUCCCCUUGGAAAUAUUUCAUUAGUGAUCUUUAACAAGUGAUAGCAUGCAUUUCUUUUCAAAUGGUCUAUCCUCAAGACUCCUGGUUCACUCUGGUUACUUGUAAUUAGUGAAAUUUGGCUGCUCCCAGGUUUCUCUGUGUCUUUUUGUUUUGGGUUAUUGCAGAAUUUGCAUUGAAUAUUCCCGGGGGGUGAGGAGAGUCAUUGGGAGAGAGAUUGAUUCAGAUUCGCUCCUUUCUGCUGCUUCUCUCUCUCUCUCUCUCUCUCUCUCUCUUUCUCUCUCUCUCUCUCAGUUUGGUUCUUACAGUUCAAUUUCAGUUAGUUCAAAAUUAGGGCAAUCAUAGAGAGUGUGGAAGUUACUCGUGUGUGUGUGUGUGUGUGUGUGUGUGUGUGUGUGUUUGCUUUUUUCCAAUCAACCUGUUCCCCAUGGGGCUCCCUUUCUAGUCAGUACUCAGCCCAUCUCCACUUGUGGGCCAGGAUGGAUUGCUUUCCUUCCUCGACUUACCUCAGCUACUCUUCUGUUGCCCCUUAGGUUGGCCAGAAGAGCUUUCUCUUUCUGGUGGGAAGGAUCAAAAUGGAAAUCUUUUAUCUCUAGUGCAAAAGGUUUUUGGUUUUCUGUUGUUUUGUUUUUUAAAUCUUCUCUCUCUCUCUCUCUCUCUCUCUCUCUUCUUUUUUUUUUUUAAAUAAACCUUCUGUAUUUAAGACCUUGGCCUCAAGAUCUGUCCCAUUCAUACCAUAUACCAGCUGGGACUGUCCCUUAAUCUGAGUUCUGAUCGGAGGAGAGAUUGAAGAAUUGAUCUUUCUCUGGGGAAAGAGGCCUUAUAUUGUUUGAUGUUUUCAAUGGCUGACACUCUCUCCAACUCUCCCCUUCCUCUCCGUUCCUCACACUUCCUAUGCACCCACCCCACUUCCCCAGGCCAGGAUGGUUGGCAAUGAUCCAAACCCUCAGAGGGAAGGGGAAAUGCUUGCCCUUUUGGCUCUGGGGCCCUCCUGGCCCUAGCUGAGAUCAUUAUUGCAUCUUCUGUGCCCCCCCCCAGGAGUGGGGUUGGAUUAGAGGUGGAUUCUAAUUCUAUAGAAGCUCAAUUCCAUUCUUCUCAUCCUGACCAUCCUGCCCUUACCCCUAAGGCCCCCCCCCCUUUCCUACUGACCAAAUCUCUUUACCUUGUUUGGGAGAAAAGUAUUUUGUUUUUAAAUCUAUUUUCUAACUUAAAAGCAAUUUAAUAUGUAAAUCUCUGCACUUUUGUGUGAGCCUACAAAUGUGUAUGUGUUGGGGUUUUUCACUCUCUGGUAUUUCUUAAUAAAGAAAUCUUUCUUUUGGGGGGAAGCCAAUUAAUGAAGGAGACUUGAAUGGUUUUAGAAAUACAGGGCCGUCUGUUUC